AUUCCCUGCUUGGUGAUUGCUGGUUUCCUGGCUGACAUAACCUCUGUUAGGUGCGUUAAAGAGUGAUUCCUUCGAGCAUCGAGAGCA
rnacentral:pre_miRNA from 1 species